AUACGUAGGGGGCAAGCGCUACUCGGAUUUACUGGGCGUAAAGCGAGCGUAGGCGGUCUGAUAAGUCAGGGGUGAGAUCCCUCAGCUCAACUGAGGAACUGCCCUUGAUACUGUCGGACUAGAGGACAGGAGAGGAAAGUGGAAUUCCCGGUGUAGCGGUGGAAUGCGUAGAUAUCGGGAGGAACACCAGAGGCGAAGGCGACUUUCUGGACUGGUCCUGACGCUGAGGUUCGAAAGCUAGGGGAGCAAACAGGAUUAGAUACCCUGGUAGUCCUAGCUGUAAACGAUGGAUACUAGAUCUUGCGCAGGAGCGCUUGGUCGAAGCUAACGCGUUAAGUAUCCCGCCUGGGGAGUACGGUCGCAAGGCUGAA
rnacentral:rRNA from 1 species